AUUGAACGCUGGCGGCAGGCCUAACACAUGCAAGUCGAGCGGAUGAAGGGAGCUUGCUCCUGGAUUCAGCGGCGGACGGGUGAGUAAUGCCUGGGAAUCUGCCUGGUAGUGGGGGAUAACGUCCGGAAACGGGCGCUAAUACCGCAUACGUCCUGAGGGAGAAAGUGGGGGAUCUUCGGACCUCACACUAUCAGAUGAGCCUAGGUCGGAUUAGCUAGUUGGUGGGGUAAAGGCCUACCAAGGCGACGAUCCGUAACUGGUCUGAGAGGAUGAUCAGUCACACUGGAACUGAGACACGGUCCAGACUCCUACGGGAGGCAGCAGUGGGGAAUAUUGGACAAUGGGCGAAAGCCUGAUCCAGCCAUGCCGCGUGUGUGAAGAAGGUCUUCGGAUUGUAAAGCACUUUAAGUUGGGAGGAAGGGCAGUAAGUUAAUACCUUGCUGUUUUGACGUUACCAACAGAAUAAGCACCGGCUAACUUCGUG
rnacentral:rRNA from 1 species